CAGGUGAUAGUCUCAAGUAUCAUAAUAAAUAUAAGUUCUCUACAAAAGACAAAGACAAUGACAAUGACAAUGGAUUGUGCCAAAAAGGCAGAGGGAGGAUGGUGGUAUAACAGUUGUCAUGAAUCAAAUCUUAACGGUAUCUACAAAAAAGGAAAAUCAAAUCACUGGAACGUGGUUAGUUGGUCAGGAACUAAAGGAGCUCUGUAUUCAUUAAAGUUUGCUCGCAUGAUGAUAAGAAGAUAUUAAAAGUAAUCGUUGGCUAUCUACAUAUUGAUCACAGAGAAAGACAUUUCAUCUGAUACGCAAAUUACAUAUAGCCCG
rnacentral:lncRNA from 1 species